UGGCCGCUGAAUAAACGAAGGCCCAAGUAAUAAAUGCUGAAAAUGCACAUUUUUCAUAUCAGCACCUACCCCUCUAAUACAUAUAUUGGUCUUGAACAACGAUCCAGUUAGUAAAAUAAAUUUACUUUUAUACUCUCAUCUGUUCCCACUAUUGGAAGUUUAUUUCACUUCUGCAAUAUCGAGCCUGAGUACAAACUACCAACAAAGAAUUUGGAACCCUGGAGGCAGCAAAUCGAGCACAGUUGGUUGACGCCUGCGGAGAUUGGUGCUUGCGUUUUUAAUUUGGUCAAAGGGUCUGAUUCUGCUUUCUUGCUAGUCAUAAUGGAUCGGUUUACGAAGCAAGAAAAGUAUGCGUUGGUUUUGGUUGAAGACAUUACACAAAAACACCAAGUAGCAAGGAUUUCUAUUUUGCAUCAGAUCAUUAGUCGAUUAAAUAAACAGAGAAAGAGAAGGCGGUUGAAGAAUGUCCUCCCAUACAACAUCUAGGCCGAAUACCUACUCAAAUGAGUCACAUGAAUCGACUUGUGGGUGUUAGCAAUAUAAAUUGUCUCGUUAACCUCCAGAUGGAUCGAAAUGCUUUUGGUAGUUGUGUGGUAUUUUUCGGAUGCAAGGUAAAUUCCUUGACAAGCCUGAGCCGAUCAAUGAAGGUUGUGUAGAUUGGUGGUGGAAGAAUUUUCAGGGUUGUCUCGGUGCGCUUGGUGGAACCUUCAUCAAUGUGUUAGUCGGAGGUGAAGACAAACCAAAAUUCAGGAAUAGGAAUAGGAAGGGCCAAAUCACCACGAAUACUUUAGCUGGGUGUGACAGGCACAUGCGUUUCACCUAUGUCUUGCCGGGUGGGAAGGUUUGCGGGAGAUGCUCGUGUUUUGAGGAGCGCCAUUACUCAACCUAAUGGCUUCAAAGUUCCUAUUGGAAACUAUUACCUCUGUGACAAUGGCUACGCCAAUAGCCUUGGAUUUUUUAACCCAUACAGAGGCGUAAGGUACCACUUAAAAGAAUGGGGCCCAGAUGUAUUAGGCCUCAGAAUCCUAUUGAGUUGUACAAUAUGCGACACACCAAAGCUAGAAACGUUAUUGAAAUGGCGUUAGAUGCGAUGGGGAAUUUUAAGGAGUGCUUCAUUUUACCCGAUCAAAGUUCAAGUUCGUCUCAUCAUGUGUUGCUUCCUACUCCAUAAUUAUGUGCGGGGCAAGAUGGCGGUGGAUCCGUUAGAUGAAUUGAUUGACAAUUGGACUGGCGAUGGGAGUACUGAAGAUGAGUCGAGAGAAACCGACUACGUCGAUGGAAUUCAGGUCACUACGGACUGGAGCCGAUUUAGAGAUGAGAUAGCACAUAAAAUGUGGGCAGAGGUAUGGAUUAGUGUCGAUAUCGAUAACUAGUGUGUUAUGACUUGUUGCUUAUUAAAUUCAUUUUCGAUCUUUUCUUUUUUUCUUUUUCUGUCUGCCGCAAAGAGAGGUCAUCAAACUCAGUAGAGGAUGCCCCAAAUAUGAAGCUUGUAUGCUACCUAUGUGAAAGAGCUACUAAGUCUCCUGUUUUCCUUCGAUCAUUCACCCAUUAUGAUUGAGAACUUUUAUUUAUGUAAGAGACUAUGUUUGUAGAGACACUUUCGUUUCUAUGUUAUAUUGAUUUGGCUGCA